UCCCAGGUGGUGCAGAGAAAUAUGGAUAUUCUUUUGCUGUCCAUUAGAAGACUCUGAAGUACUGGCCAGACUCCAACUUCUGAAGUCUUUCUCAAAAGGAUCACAAGACUCUGAUCAAAUCCUAUUCAGAUCCAUUCUGACUCUAGUUUCCCACUUCCAGGCAAACACUUGCUGCUCUAGCUUCCAAACUGUAAAGACUAGCUUGCCUCAUGUGUGCCUGACCAGCCAUUUGUGCCACUGGAAAGGAACUGAGUACCAUAGAUGGGGUAGAUACAGUAAAGAACUCAACCCUGAGCAGUUUCCAAUUUUCAUGUGUUGGGGGAAAAGACAAAUGCAGGCAACAGGGAACUCUAUUUCUGAAACUUCAGUGUAAGACACAGAGAGACAAUUCGGUAAAUCCUGCAUUGUUGGGGUGGGUGGGAGGAGACGGGUGUGGUGAAACAAUAGGGAAGGGGGGGCCCGCUUAUUUCUGGCUUACCCAGAUAUAAUAGCAACAAAACCAAUAAUAAUAAUAAAGAGGCAGCUUGUUAUAGUAAGCCAUCCUUGCUUAAGAGAAAAUCGAGUUUCCAUUA